AGCCAUUUUCCAUUCCUAUAGGAAUUCCUAUAGGAAUUUUCAAUGCCUAUAGGAAUUCCUAGAGGAAAUUUUAAUUCCUAUAGGAAUUCCUAUAGGAAUUUUCAAUGCCUAUAGGAAUUCCUAUAGGAAAUUUCAAUGCCAAUAGGAAUUCCUAUAGGAAAUUUCAAUUCCUAUAGGAAUUCCUAUAGGAAUUUUCAAUGCCUAUAGGAAUUCCUAUAGGAAAUUUC